UCUGGGCCUCUGCUAUUUGUCAUGGAAGCACACUUGCAACUUCUACUAAAUAAUCCAUAAUUGUUAGACUAUGGUGGGAGAUACGUAUCUUUCAGCUAAAAGAAAAUUUUUUAAAUUGCCCAAUGCAGACUCAGUAUCACCUUUUUGGAAAUCCAUUUCACAAUCAAAAUGGAUGUUGAAGUACUUCAGCAACACUGAAGGAUUUAUGUGAACAAAAUGGCUGUUUGAGGUUUGCUUUUGUGCUCAAGAAGGAGAAGAUGGAGUGAGGGGAGAGGAUGUCUUCUGUACCUGGGUUUCUUUUAUGCCAAAGCAAUGAAUGUCUUAAUGUCUUAAUCUGUGUGACCUUGGACAAUUGACUUGACCUCUCUGUUUCUAGGUAUCACCAUAUAUAAAACAGAGAUACUCAAUUACCUGAGUCCCAUCUCAACAAUCCUGUUAAUGUAAAAUAGUCUUCUGUGAAGCACCAAAAUAAAUUCUUAAACAUGAA